rnacentral:rRNA from 1 species
GACGAACGCUGGCGGCGUGCCUAAUACAUGCAAGUCGAACGAGUGGCGGACGGGUGAGUAACACGUGGGAACCUACCCACCAGAGGGGGAUAACUACUGGAAACGGUAGCUAAUACCGCAUACCAUCAGAUGAACCCAUAGGGGAUUAGCUGGUAGGUAAGGUAACGGCUUACCUAGGCGCAGAUCCCUAGCUGGUCUGAGAGGGUGAUCAGCCACACGGGGACUGAGACACGGCCCAGACUCCUACGGGAGGCAGCAGUGGGGAAUAUUGCACAAUGGGCGCAAGCCUGAUGCAGCCAUGCCGCGUGUAUGAAGAAGGCCUUCGGGUUGUAAAGUACUUUCAGUCGGGAGGCGUUACCGACAGAAGAAGCACCGGCUAACUCCGUGCCAGCAGCCGCGGUAAUUC